rnacentral:rRNA from 1 species
GCGAGUGGCGAACGGGUGAGUAAUAUAUUGGAACGUACCGGGUAAUGGGGGAUAACCAAUCGAAAGAUUGGCUAAUACCGCAUACGCUCUGAGGAGGAAAGCAGGGGACCUUCGGGCCUUGCGUUAUUCGAGCGGCCAAUAUCUGAUUAGCUAGUUGGUGGGGUAAAGGCCUACCAAGGCGACGAUCAGUAGCGGGUCUGAGAGGAUGAUCCGCCACACUGGGACUGAGACACGGCCCAGACUCCUACGGGAGGCAGCAGUGGGGAAUUUUGGACAAUGGGCGCAAGCCUGAUCCAGCCAUGCCGCGUGUCUGAAGAAGGCCUUCGGGUUGUAAAGGACUUUUGUUAGGGAAGAAAAAGGAGCGGUUAAUACCCGUUUCUGCUGACGGUACCUAAAGAAUAAGCACCGGCUAACUACGUGCCAGCAGCCGCGGUAAUACCGUAGGGUGCGAGCGUUAAUCGGAAUUACUGGGGCGUAAAAGCGAGCGCCGACCGUUACUUAAGCAGGAUGUGAAAUCCCCCGGCUUAACCUGGGAACUGCGUUC